UUCUUUCAUACUUUAUGAGAUGGGGGUAAAAUUGACCUAACUCAUUAAAUUUGUUUGCAUACUCCAGUACUGUCAUGUCAUCUUUUUUCUAAAGUCAAGAACUCGUUCUCCUUAACUAAUCUCAUUGACUCUAGAAAAUAUUGGUCAUAAAAUAUUUUCUUGAAUUCCGCCCAUGUUGGUUAUCAGCAUUCCCAUAUGCAGCCUUUAUUAUAGCCCACC
rnacentral:lncRNA from 1 species